ensembl:lncRNA
CCUCUGGAGGAGGGCGCGGCAACCCACUCCAGUAUUCUUGCCUGGAGAAUCCCGUGGACAGAGGAGACUGGCGGACUGCAGUCCAUGGGGUCGCCGAAUUAGAAAUGACUGAAGCAAAUUAGCACGCACUCUAUGUAGGGUAAGGGAGCUAGAGAAGGCGAAGUUCGGAAAAAGACCAAGACCGGUGCUUUAUGGGAACAGAUCACCUUUAAUGAGGCGAGAAAGGGCAGCAGUGAGACUAGCGAGCUGCUGCACUAACCUAAGAAGUCCUAUUUGCGGCAUGUGGGAUCUAGUUCCCCAACAGGAAUCAAAUCCGGGCGCCCUGGAACAGAAGCGUGGAGUCUUAGCCAUUGGACCACCUGGGAAGUCCCAGGCAAAGCGUUUUAAAAAGCCAGGUACUUCAGAGAAGAGCUGAAGCAGAGGAUGUGAGGAAGGCCCGUCUCAGUCCUGGGAAGGCCCCGAGGGGUCCUGCUCGGUUACAGUGAACUGGAUCGCACCCUGCCUGGCAGUAGAAAAGAGUAGCUCCAAGGGUCUGAAGGCAAGGAAAGGAUUGUAAAGGUGGAGGUGAGUGGAGCGAACGGAUUUUGAACAAAGAACGCAUUGUUGGAGGCAAGGUCGCACUCUUCCCAGAGAUGGAAGGGGUCCAGGAGUCAAGAUUACCCCUAGUGGCGACCAGAAAACACCAGGGGGGCUGAUGCAAGAUCAUAGUCCGGGGAAGUCAGAAGUGUCCUUAGGUUAGGUAUUAUGUGUUGGUCUUCUGCCACGGGCCCAAGACGACCGAUUCCAUCGGAGGCCUGCGGUUUCCUUCUUCACAAAAGAAAAAACAAUGACGGUGGGGCAGUCCCACUUCUGGGGAUUUUCCUUGAGGACUAAUUCCCACAGGUUCCAGAGGAAACAUGCCUUGUUGAUGUUCAUCCAGCCGCGUUUGGGAGCGUAGAAACGACCUGCAAGCAAAGUGCAGGGGCCGGGUUGGCGCUCCCUGUUCAUGCAUCACGGCGCCUCUGAAACUUCCUGUUAGGUGUACGUGGGUGCAGUCAGGGACCCUCCGGGGACAGCUUUACAGCUUUUCAAGAGCUUCUGGU